GACAGAGGGUGCAAACGUUGUUCGGAAUUACUGGGCGUAAAGCGAGUGUAGGCGGUGUGGUAAGUCGGAUGUGAAAGCCCCGGGCUCAACCCGGGAAGUGCACUCGAUACUGCCACGCUAGAGUAUCGGAGAGGUUGGUGGAAUUCUCGGUGUAGAGGUGAAAUUCGUAGAUAUCGAGAGGAACACCGGUGGCGAAGGCGGUUGCCUGGGGCUUUGCUGACGCUGAUGCGCGAAAGCGUGGGGAGCGAUCCGG
rnacentral:rRNA from 1 species